CACACACGCUCACACACAGUGUCGUACAUUUAGGCACGCGGCUACCUGCGGACGACAGCGUUGACGUCGACGACGACGACGACGACGACGCUCAGAAAUCACCGCGAUUAAUUUGGUGUUUUGUUUUGGUAUUGCUUCGAGAUGUUCUCUUCUGGCAAAUAACUGCUCUCGUUCUCGCUGUCACUCUCUGACUCUUUGUGUGUUUAUGCUUUUAACAUUGAUACGUGCCGCAGAUACACUAAAACACACACACACACUACAAUCUUGCGCUAGGAAGGGGGCCGGAGACAGCUGGGCUGUUCCCGUCUAGUCAAUUGUCAAUCACAGGUAGUCAAGACACAGCACGCACACACACACAUGGAGUGGCACAAUCGUCAGCUGUUAUCACUGCACUGGACUGAAUUGCAAGAGACACGCAGGAAAAGGACAGAACGUAAGGUAACAUGGAAUUUAGCGCUGACAGUGGGGGGGAGACAAUGCAACAACUGUUAUGGCAAGAUCAGACAUCGCUCUGCUUCUCGCCCAGACAGGCACUCGGAAGUGGUUGUGCCGAACCGAUCCCAGCCUCGCAGCAAGCACACAACUCGGAAAGAGAAAAAACCAAAUUGCAAUUGUCCUGGUUUGGUGACUGCUGCUGUGGAGCGCCUUGAGGGAACGAUGACAUGACUGCCCUUCUACCUGAAAUGAGCACUUUGUGGAGUAUGAUUUCUAUUAACUUGAAAUAUGAACUAUGAACCAAAUUGUACAUUGGUUUACAUGUAUGUACAUAUAUUCAACAAAUGCCUGUGCUGGUUGAAGCAGUCGCAGAGCAGGCUGGCACGUUCAAAAGUCUAGGAAGGCAGCAAGGACAGGGGCAAACAGUCGCCAAAUAUUUCCCUGUUUUAACAGACCAGGGACCUCAAGAGCUGGACAUGCAAAUAAACAGCACAAAUAGAGUGUUCUUUUUACAGAUUGAUACAAUAAGGAAAAUGUUAUUACCGAGCGGCGUUUCAAAUAAUUUGAAAUAUGUUUUGGCCAAUUAAGAUGUGUUGGCAUAUAACGAGAAUGGGCUGCAAGGCAAGUUUGCGCUAAAAAAUUUAAAGAAGUUUUAUGGAGUUUUGAUUGGAAGGCUUUUUUGUUUUUUUGUAUGCCUAUUAUAUCUGUAUUAUAUAUUUAUAGAUGCUGGAUCAGCUGAAGUCCAGCUUAGGAAGGCCCUUCAGCUGCAAAAAAACGUUAUUUUUAAAACAGUACCACCGCGAACAGCAGAACAUAUAUUUAAGUAAAUUUCAAAAUUAAAAUGAAAUGAAAUGCAGAUUGAUAACCAACUAGAGGUACCCAUUCCACUAGCUACUAGACGACCCAUAUCACCAUAUCAUUGCGGGCAAAAAUGGAAAUGAUGAAAAGCAUUGUUAAGGGUUAGUAAAGAAAGUACCCCUGGUCGGUUAGUGAGUGGUGAUAUCACCACCUCCGAACUAGUUCCCAGUGCUGCUGGGAAAAGAGAGUGCGUUGAGUCAAUUUGCCGCCUUGUAUAAUGCCGUCAUGAGCGGGCUCAAUCCCGCACACACACAUGGACACACACUAACACAUAUGAAGCUCAGGGAGCUUAUACGGGAGAAAAAUGAAAUGAGAGACUCCACGCAGGUCGGUGAAGCAGAAGGAGGAGCAUAGCACGUCCAGGAAGCACGACCAGGUGGACUUCUACCUCACACAAGCGCUGAGCGGAAAUCAGGGAGAAGACACACAACAUGUCCUCUUCGAGUGCUACAGUGUCACGCCACAAAUUCGAUCACUAUAGUGAUAGUGAGGCUAUAGCCUCAGACGGUGGGCAAGGAUCAGCGCCGAGCCUUUUUGAAGAGCGUUUUGACACUUUUCGCGGCUCACAACUCUCCCGCUCGUUUUUACUUCUCAUCAGACGCUCUGCGCUUGCCCACAAUUGCACAAAUUGUUUAAAAAUGUACAUAUAUGUACAUACAUAUGUACAUAUGGAGUUAAUCAAUUUUCGGAACUUAUUUGGAUGCCUUAGGGUCAAUGUGUCACGGCCAUGGCAUCCAGCACAUUUUGAACCAUUUUUUCUCAAAAUUUAGCGGCACUGAAAACACUCAAACACCCAAUUGGGUAAUUCGCCUUCGAUCGGUUUUGCCCUAGGAAGGAAUUAAACUAAGGUUAUUUCAAAAAACUUGACUAUGUUUUAGUAACAAACGAGGGGGAACGUUGGGAGUUGCUGCGGACACCGCAACUCUACAGUUAUACCCGAAUACUAAGUCAGUAUGGCUCUCCUCGGCAGAGACGCCGCUUAUAUUAAUCGACACGAC
rnacentral:sRNA from 1 species